rnacentral:rRNA from 1 species
AUUGAACGCUGGCGGCAGGCUUAACACAUGCAAGUCGAGCGGGGGAGGUUGCUUCGGUAACUGACCUAGCGGCGGACGGGUGAGUAAUGCUUAGGAAUCUGCCUAUUAGUGGGGGACAACAUUCCGAAAGGAAUGCUAAUACCGCAUACGCCCUACGGGGGAAAGCAGGGGAUCUUCGGACCUUGCGCUAAUAGAUGAGCCCAAGUCGGAUUAGCUAGUUGGUGGGGUAAAGGCCUACCAAGGCGACCAUCUGUAGCGGGUCUGAGAGGAUGAUCCGCCACACUGGGACUGAGACACGGCCCAGACUCCUACGGGAGGCAGCAGUGGGGAAUAUUGGACAAUGGGCGGAAGCCUGAUCCAGCCAUGCCGCGUGUGUGAAGAAGGCCUUUUGGUCGUAAAGCACUUUAAGCGAGGAGGAGGCUCUUAAGGUUAAUACCCUUGAUGAGUGGACGUUACUAACAGAAUAAGCACCGGCUAACUCUGUGCCAGCCGCCGCAGUAAGAC